rnacentral:misc_RNA from 1 species
UCCGAUUUGUCACCGGCAGUUCCCUAAGAGUGCCCGGCAUUACCCGAUGGCAACAUAGAGUGAGGGUUGCGCUCGUUGCGGGACUUAACCCAACACCUCACGGCACGAGCUGACGACAGCCAUGCACCACCUGUGCAGGUUCCUGACUUAACAGGUCGUCGCCGUUUCCGGUUUCUACUUCCUGCAUGUCAAGCCCAGGUAAGGUUCUUCGCUCUGCAUCGAAUUGAACCACAUGCUCCACCGCUUGUGUGAGCCCCCGUCAAUUCCUUUGAGUUUUAGCCUUGCGACCGUACUUCCCAGGCGGUCGACUUAGCACUUUUGCUUCGACCGCAAUAGCGUCAGAGCCACUACGAUCUAGUCGACAUCGUUUACGGCCAGGACUAC